rnacentral:rRNA from 1 species
GGUUAAGCGACUAAGCGUACACGGUGGAUGCCCUGGCAGUCAGAGGCGAUGAAGGACGUGCUAAUCUGCGAAAAGCGUCGGUAAGGUGAUAUGAACCGUUACAGCCGGCGAUGUCCGAAUGGGGAAACCCAGUGUGAUUCGUCACACUAUCGUUAACUGAAUACAUAGGUUAACGAGGCGAACCGGGGGAACUGAAACAUCUAAGUACCCCGAGGAAAAGAAAUCAACCGAGAUUCCCCCAGUAGCGGCGAGCGAACGGGGAGCAGCCCAGAGUCUGAAUCAGCUUGUGUGUUAGUGGAACGGUCUGGAAAGUCCGACGGUACAGGGUGAUAGUCCCGUACACCAAAAUGCACAGGCUGUGAACUCGAAGAGUAGGGCGGGACACGUGGUAUCCUGUCUGAAUAUGGGGGGACCAUCCUCCAAGGCUAAAUACUCCUGACUGACCGAUAGUGAACCAGUACCGUGAGGGAAAGGCGAAAAGAACCCCGGCGAGGGGAGUGAAAAAGAACCUGAAACCGUGUACGUACAAGCAGUGGGAGCACCUUCGGGUGUGACUGCGUACCUUUUGUAUAAUGGGUCAGCGACUUAUAUUCUGUAGCAAGGUUAACCGUAUAGGGGAGCCGCAGGGAAACCGAGUCUUAACUGGGCGUUAAGUUGCAGGGUAUAGACCCGAAACCCGGUGAUCUAGCCAUGGGCAGGUUGAAGGUUGGGUAACACUAACUGGAGGACCGAACCGACUAAUGUUGAAAAAUUAGCGGAUGACUUGUGGCUGGGGGUGAAAGGCCAAUCAAACCGGGAGAUAGCUGGUUCUCCCCGAAAGCUAUUUAGGUAGCGCCUCGUGAACUCAUCUUCGGGGGUAGAGCACUGUUUCGGCUAGGGGGUCAUCCCGACUUACCAACCCGAUGCAAACUACGAAUACCGAAGAAUGUUAUCACGGGAGACACACGGCGGGUGCUAACGUCCGUCGUGAAGAGGGAAACAACCCAGACCGCCAGCUAAGGUCCCAAAGUCACAGUUAAGUGGGAAACGAUGUGGGAAGGCACAGACAGCCAGGAUGUUGGCUUAGAAGCAGCCAUCAUUUAAAGAAAGCGUAAUAGCUCACUGGUCGAGUCGGCCUGCGCGGAAGAUGUAACGGGGCUAAACUGUGCACCGAAGCUGCGGCAGCGACACUAUGUGUUGUUGGGUAGGGGAGCGUUCUGUAAGCCUGCGAAGGUGGCCUGUGAGGGUUGCUGGAGGUAUCAGAAGUGCGAAUGCUGACAUAAGUAACGAUAAUGCGGGUGAAAAGCCCGCACGCCGGAAGACCAAGGGUUCCUGUCCAACGUUAAUCGGGGCAGGGUGAGUCGACCCCUAAGGCGAGGCCGAAAGGCGUAGUCGAUGGGAAACAGGUUAAUAUUCCUGUACUUGGUGUUACUGCGAAGGGGGGACGGAGAAGGCUAUGUUAGCCGGGCGACGGUUGUCCCGGUUUAAGCAUGUAGGCGGAGGUUCCAGGUAAAUCCGGUACCUUUUUAACGCUGAGGUGUGAUGACGAGGCACUACGGUGCUGAAGUAACAAAUGCCCUGCUUCCAGGAAAAGCCUCUAAGCAUCAGGUAACAUUAAAUCGUACCCCAAACCGACACAGGUGGUCAGGUAGAGAAUACCAAGGCGCUUGAGAGAACUCGGGUGAAGGAACUAGGCAAAAUGGUGCCGUAACUUCGGGAGAAGGCACGCUGAUAUGUAGGUGAAGCCCCUGCGGGUGGAGCUGAAAUCAGUCGAAGAUACCAGCUGGCUGCAACUGUUUAUUAAAAACACAGCACUGUGCAAACACGAAAGUGGACGUAUACGGUGUGACGCCUGCCCGGUGCCGGAAGGUUAAUUGAUGGGGUUAUCCGUAAGGAGAAGCUCUUGAUCGAAGCCCCGGUAAACGGCGGCCGUAACUAUAACGGUCCUAAGGUAGCGAAAUUCCUUGUCGGGUAAGUUCCGACCUGCACGAAUGGCGUAAUGAUGGCCAGGCUGUCUCCACCCGAGACUCAGUGAAAUUGAACUCGCUGUGAAGAUGCAGUGUACCCGCGGCAAGACGGAAAGACCCCGUGAACCUUUACUAUAGCUUGACACUGAACAUUGAGCCUUGAUGUGUAGGAUAGGUGGGAGGCUUUGAAGCGUGGACGCCAGUCUGCGUGGAGCCAACCUUGAAAUACCACCCUUUAAUGUUUGAUGUUCUAACGUUGGCCCCUUAUCGGGGUUGCGGACAGUGUCUGGUGGGUAGUUUGACUGGGGCGGUCUCCUCCCAAAGAGUAACGGAGGAGCACGAAGGUUAGCUAAUCCUGGUCGGACAUCAGGAGGUUAGUGCAAUGGCAUAAGCUAGCUUGACUGCGAGCGUGACGGCGCGAGCAGGUGCGAAAGCAGGUCAUAGUGAUCCGGUGGUUCUGAAUGGAAGGGCCAUCGCUCAACGGAUAAAAGGUACUCCGGGGAUAACAGGCUGAUACCGCCCAAGAGUUCAUAUCGACGGCGGUGUUUGGCACCUCGAUGUCGGCUCAUCACAUCCUGGGGCUGAAGUAGGUCCCAAGGGUAUGGCUGUUCGCCAUUUAAAGUGGUACGCGAGCUGGGUUUAGAACGUCGUGAGACAGUUCGGUCCCUAUCUGCCGUGGGCGCUGGAGAAUUGAGGGGGGCUGCUCCUAGUACGAGAGGACCGGAGUGGACGCAUCACUGGUGUUCGGGUUGUCAUGCCAAUGGCAUUGCCCGGUAGCUAAAUGCGGAAGAGAUAAGUGCUGAAAGCAUCUAAGCACGAAACUUGCCCCGAGAUGAGUUCUCCCUGAGACUUUAAGUCUCCUGAAGGAACGUUAAAGACGAUGACGUUGAUAGGUCGGGUGUGUAAGCGUAGCGAUACGUUGAGCUAACCGAUACUAAUGAACCGUGAGGCUUAACCUUACAACGCCGAAGGUGUUUUG